GGGCUACGGUGCAGAGGUAUCCUCCGACCCACCACGGGAGCCAGGUAUGCCGCCCGCCUCUGCUGCACGGAUCUCUGCCCUGGCUGGAUGGCGGCAAAGCCCUGAGCAGCCACCACACCGCCUCGCCCUGGAACCUCAGCCCCUUCUCCAAGACGUCCAUCCACCACGGCUCCCCGGGGCCUCUGUCCGUCUACCCUCCGGCUUCAUCCUCUUCUCUGGCUGCGGGCCACUCCAGUCCGCAUCUCUUCACCUUCCCGCCCACCCCUCCGAAGGACGUCUCCCCAGACCCGUCGCUGUCCACCCCGGGAUCCGCCGGGUCGGCCAGGCAAGAUGAGAAAGAGUGCCUCAAGUAUCAGGUGCAGCUGCCCGAUAGCAUGAAGCUGGAGACGUCUCAUUCCCGAGGCAGCAUGACCACCCUGGGAGGGGCCUCGUCUUCAGCCCACCACCCCAUUACCACCUAUCCGCCCUAUGUGCCCGAGUACAGCUCCGGACUCUUCCCUCCCAGCAGCCUACUGGGAGGAUCCCCUACCGGGUUCGGAUGUAAGUCGAGGCCCAAGGCACGAUCCAGCACAGGCAGGGAGUGUGUGAACUGCGGGGCAACCUCUACCCCACUGUGGCGGCGAGAUGGUACUGGGCACUACCUUUGCAACGCCUGCGGACUCUACCAUAAAAUGAAUGGGCAGAACCGGCCCCUUAUCAAGCCCAAGCGA
rnacentral:lncRNA from 1 species